rnacentral:sRNA from 1 species
AUUUUUCGUUUCUGGUUU